rnacentral:misc_RNA from 1 species
AGGCUGAGCAUGGAACAUUUUCAAAGAGUUCCCCCCGUAUGACGAAGUCGUGCAUGCUUAUACAUCGUUCGCCGUCAUGGCGGCACUCGGCUAUCUCGCCUGGACACAGGGAUACCUCCAUGCCCGACCGGGCAGCGCUGCAUUCGGUUUCGCCAUUGCCGCACUGGGCCUCGCGCUCGGCAUCUUAUGGGAGGUAUUCGAAUGGAUCUUUAUCAGCAUCACCUGGAGCGACACGUUAAUUGAUCUCUUGAUGGACACUAUCGGUGCUGUAGUCGCAGGCUUUUUUGCGUCGUGGAUCACCCAUCGUAAAGGCGCGCAUCCCAAAGCCACAUCUUAAGAACCGCAGCGACUGCAGCAGCGGCGACAAUCAAUUUCCUUGGAACCCGAUGGUGGCCCUUGAGUUGGAAGAAGUGAAAGAGGCACAGCAAUCCCGUCGGUCGCAGAUUUUUAAGAGACUUAUUCGACCGCAACAAAGCGAGAUCUUGGAAUUGGGAGAGCA